rnacentral:lncRNA from 1 species
GUGGUUUGAGACCUAUUUGUCCCUACAAGCACAUAAUCAAAAUUAAACAAUGUCUGGUAAUUAAAUGUAAUUAAACGGCAUAAAUUGGCCAGGUUGGUGGAAUCAGGUGAGGAUGCUCUCAUUUUGUAUUUAGCUUUGGUUGUUUUCUCUGUCUUUGGUGUAUUUGGUUGACAAACAAUGGCAUAUGAACAUGCCAAAUGGAAGCCAAGGACCACAUAUGUGACCUUUAUUAAAAUAGUUCUUAGUGAUUAGUGGAUAGAGUCACAUGCUUUUGUUUUUGUAUUUUUGCCCAAUCAGUUUUAUAUCUUCUAUUGAUUAUGUUAGUUGUGACUUGUAUGAGGUGGUUGUGAAGAAAACCCGUCAUAUUACGCCUGUUUUCUUUACCAAACGUAUUAGGGUUCUCUUCUUUAUUUAAUUUCAUUAUCUUUG